GACGAACGCUGGCGGCGUGCCUAAUACAUGCAAGUAGAACGCUGAAGAGAGGAGCUUGCUCUUCUUGGAUGAGUUGCGAACGGGCGAGUAACGCGUAGGUAACCUGCCUUGUAGCGGGGGAUAACUAUUGGAAACGAUAGCUAAUACCGCAUAACAAUGGAUGACACAUGUCAUUUAUUUGAAAGGGGCAAUUGCUCCACUACAAGAUGGACCUGCGUUGUAUUAGCUAGUAGGUGAGGUAAUGGCUCACCUAGGCGACGAUACAUAGCCGACCUGAGAGGGUGAUCGGCCACACUGGGACUGAGACACGGCCCAGACUCCUACGGGAGGCAGCAGUAGGGAAUCUUCGGCAAUGGGGGCAACCCUGACCGAGCAACGCCGCGUGAGUGAAGAAGGUUUUCGGAUCGUAAAGCUCUGUUGUAAGUCAAGAACGGGUGUGAGAGUGGAAAGUUCACACUGUGACGGUAGCUUACCAGAAAGGGACGGCUAACUACGUGCCAGCAGCCGCGGUAAUACGUAGGUCCCGAGCGUUGUCCGGAUUUAUUGGGCGUAAAGCGAGCGCAGGCGGUUUGAUAAGUCUGAAGUUAAAGGCUGUGGCUCAACCAUAGUUCGCUUUGGAAACUGUCAAACUUGAGUGCAGAAGGGGAGAGUGGAAUUCCAUGUGUAGCGGUGAAAUGCGUAGAUAUAUGGAGGAACACCGGUGGCGAAAGCGGCUCUCUGGUCUGUAACUGACGCUGAGGCUCGAAAGCGUGGGGAGCGAACAGGAUUAGAUACCCUGGUAGUCCACGCCGUAAACGAUGAGUGCUAGGUGUUGGAUCCUUUCCGGGAUUCAGUGCCGCAGCUAACGCAUUAAGCACUCCGCCUGGGGAGUACGACCGCAAGGUUGAAACUCAAAGGAAUUGACGGGGGCCCGCACAAGCGGUGGAGCAUGUGGUUUAAUUCGAAGCAACGCGAAGAACCUUACCAGGUCUUGACAUCCCGAUGCUAUUUCUAGAGAUAGAAAGUUACUUCGGUACAUCGGUGACAGGUGGUGCAUGGUUGUCGUCAGCUCGUGUCGUGGGAUGUUGGGUUAAGUCCCGCAACGAGCGCAACCCCUAUUGUUAGUUGCCAUCAUUCAGUUGGGCACUCUAGCGAGACUGCCGGUAAUAAACCGGAGGAAGGUGGGGAUGACGUCAAAUCAUCAUGCCCCUUAUGACCUGGGCUACACACGUGCUACAAUGGUUGGUACAACGAGUUGCGAGUCGGUGACGGCGAGCUAAUCUCUUAAAGCCAAUCUCAGUUCGGAUUGUAGGCUGCAACUCGCCUACAUGAAGUCGGAAUCGCUAGUAAUCGCGGAUCAGCACGCCGCGGUGAAUACGUUCCCGGGCCUUGUACACACCGCCCGUCACACCACGAGAGUUUGUAACACCCGAAGUCGGUGAGGUAACCUUUUGGAGCCAGCCGCCUAAGGUGGGACAGAUGAUUGGGGUGAAGUCGUAACAAGGUAGCCGUAUCGGAAGG
rnacentral:rRNA from 1 species